rnacentral:rRNA from 1 species
UAAAACGUAGGAGGCGAGCGUUAUCCGGAUUUACUGGGCGUAAAGCGUGUGUAGGCGGUUUGAUAAGUUGGAUGUGAAAGCUCCCGGCUCAACUGGGAGAGGUCGUUCAAAACUAUCAGACUUGAGAGUGGUAGAGGGAGGUGGAAUUCCGCGUGUAGUGGUGAAAUGCGUAGAUAUGCGGAGGAACACCAGUGGCGAAAGCGGCCUCCUGGCCCAUUUCUGACGCUCAGACACGAAAGCUAAGGUAGCAAACGGGAUUAGAGACCCCGGUAGUCUUAGCUGUAAACGAUGUGAACUUAGUGUCGGUGGGGUUAAAUCCAUCGGUACUGAAGCAAACGCGAUAAGUUCACCGCCUGGGGACUACGGCCGCAAGGUUAAAACUCAAAGGAAUUGACGG